UUGGUUGCCUGGUACAGGAGACACCAUGGUCUUGGAAGGUGAGUUUUCUAGGGUGAAGCCAAUCCUUCACACUCCAGAUGAGCUGAUCCCUGUAAUUUCCAAGGAAGCUCAGCUGCAUAAUUUUUGGUACAAGGAGACUGUCUGCACCUUUCUGU
rnacentral:snRNA from 15 species